GACGUCUUUAAGACCGUCUUACUUAGGUCAUUAAAUGGUCUUGUCAUAGAAAGACGUCUUCAAGACGUUUAAUAUCCAGCUUUUUAAAUCCUUUUUUUGGCGUCCAUCUAAAUUUUCUUAUAUACGUCUUAAAGACAUCUUUAAAAAGACAAGAAAAUAUUUGCUUGGUUUCGUAUGACGUCUUUAGUUCGUCAAUCUUUUACUUUCGGUAUAAUAUUUUAAAUAGCACUCUUUAAAACGUCUUAAAAACGUCUUCAGUAAGACUGCAUUGGCGUGAUAAUAUUUCGUGUCUCAUAAACUUAAUAAGCUUUUUUAUAAAGUUUAAAAGUUUUCUUUGACUUACAUUUGAUUUCUAAACUUCGACUUAUAUAUCUUUUUAAACAUUAUUCAUGGAAACUGAAAAUCGAAUGAAGCGUCGUCGCCUGAAUAAAUGUUAUGUUAGAUUUUAUAUGUAUGUUAGAUUUUAUAAUGACGCAAGAUGAAGUUAUCGAUAUUAGCACUAAUAUGAAUCGUGAACGUAAUUCUUCUUAUGAGCAUGAAACACCUUGUGAAGCCCCUGCUAAUAUUCAAGAAGAAAGUGGAGUAACAAAUUUAUCUUUGAGUUAUAAUUAUGAAAAUUUUGAAUGUUUUAAUGCACCAACACUAUUGAAAACAGAAACAUUAUCACAAGGUUUGGCAAAGUGGUCGUCAAAAAGUAACAUUUCUCAAAGUAAUUUAAAGGGACUUUUGAAUAUUCUCAGAAGGCAUGGUCAUUCAGAGUUGCCAAAAGAUGGAAGAUCUCUUUUAAAAUCCUCUAAAGUUUUUACAGGUGAUAGAAAGUGUGGCGGAACUUAUGCAUAUUUUACCAUUGCUGAUGGCUUAAAUUAUUUUUUGAAUACCAAAAAAGAUUCUCAAAAUACUGAAUUAUCUGUUGCUGUUAAUGUUAAUGGACUACCUCUUUUUAAAUCUUCUAAUCUUCAACUAUGGCCAAUACUUGGUUUAAUAGAGAACUAUAUUUUUAUAAAUGCACUUUUCUGUGGAAAUGGUAAACCAACCUGCUUAGAUAAUUUUCUCUGUGAUUUUAUCAAAGAAUUUUUAUUUUUAUCUAAUGAAGGUUUAUACUACGAUAAUAAAAAAAUUAAUGUUAAACAUAAAGCAUUCAUAUGUGAUGCACCUUCUCGUUGUUUUCUUAAAUGUAUACAAGGUCAUACAGGAUAUUACUCUUGUGAAAGGUGCCAAAUUCAAGGAUUAUAUGAGGAUCAUAGAGUGGUUUUUAUUGAUGAAAACCUAUCAACUCCAAGCUCAACUGAGGAGUUAAAUAACUUUUUGUACACUAUACAUCAGAAAUCUCUUUCUCCUUUAGCUUAACUUCAAAUAUCUUAUGUUUCUGAUUUUAUUUUAGACUAUAUGCACAUGGUUUGUCUUGGAGUAGUAAGACGCAUACUUACCUUUUUAAAGUCAGGUCCUAAACAUUGUAGACUUUCAAAUACCCAAAUAAAAAAAAUAUCUGCUAAUCUAUUAAGCUUACGUGGUAUGAUGCCAUCUGAAUUUGCUCGACAACCACGGUCUCUUUUUGAGUUAGAUCGUUGGAAAGCAACAGAGUUCAGGCAAUUUAUUUUAUACACUGGUCCCUUAGUUUUAAAGGGUGUUGUUAGCAAAGAAAUUUAUAACUACUUUCUAACAUUGCAUGUUGUGAUGGUGAUUCUCUUAAACAAAGAAAAUCAAGUUAAAAAUCAUUAUCUUGAAUUUGCUAAAAACUAAUAAAUUAUUUUGUUACUAAUUCGAAACAUUUAUAUACAAAAUCAUUCUGUGUUUAUAAUGUUCACUGUUUACUUCAUAUUUGUGAUGAUGUUGUUAGAUUUGAUUGUUCACUAAAUACAAUAUCUUGUUUUCCUUUUGAAAAUUAUAUGCAGACAUUGAAGAAAACAGUGAAAAAUUCAAAGAGUCUGGUUGUUCAAAUUACAAAACAGUAUCAAAAUUUACAAUAUUUAUUUAAUACAAAAUCUCAAAAACUAAAUAUUUGAGUGAAGCUGAAAAAUUCAUGCUUUUAUCUAGAAGAAAAUCAACUUUGUUUUAUUGAUAAGAAAUUAACAUCUGGAUUUUUUAAAUGUAGAGUAUUUAAACUUGAUUUACAAAGUGAUUUAUAUACACAACCGAUUCUGUCUAACCUUUAAAAUUUUCUUGAUACCAAAGAUUAAUGAAAUAAAAGUAAAAGUGGUUGUGUUAGGAGUUGAAAGUCUCUGCUGAAAGGUUGUUGCUCUACCCUGAAAAGAAGUUUUCAACCAUCAAUGAUGAAAUGGAUGCAGAUGAAACAUGGGACAAAUAUAAACUUAUCAAAAUCAAAUUUGAGAGUGAUAAUAUAAAUGAGCUAAAAGAAUAUGGUUACACAACAGCAGCAUAGGAGGAGGAUGAAAUAGAUAAUUGUUUUACAAGUUCCAAAGGCACAUUUAAAGUGAAAAGUAAUGUUUAUGUUACCAAAUUUUCCGUUGCCUCCAACAGUUUUGCAAUCCAUACCAACAAAAUCAUUGAAGAGAUCAUUUGAUUUUAAUUUGUCACCUGGAUCAAUUAUUUUAAAACAAUCAAAUAUUUGUUCUGCUUUGCCUGACUCUUUACCUUUACACACAGAGGAACAAUCAACUUCGAAUUCUGAGUCACUGUCUUUGCCUAACUUCUUUUUACCUUCAAAAUCAACUGAAAAGGAACAAUCAAGUUUUUUUACAAGUACACUGUCUUUGAUUAUUGUUUUACAUCUAAAAAAUGUUGUUUAAAAUUUUUUCUUUUAUUUAAUUUAUUUUUUGGCAUUAUGAGGUGAAACCCUCAUACUCAAGAGUUCAAAAAAAAAAGAAAACAAAAGAAGAAGUACAAAAAAACACUAUGAUUGAAGCCCUUGGACCAGAGAAGUUAGUUAAAAAUCAGUUUCCUAUGGAAGUUGGAAAAUACCAGCAUAUGAUGUUCAAAAUAGUAUCAAAAAUUCUUGAAAAUCAGGAGCUAAUUAUUGCUGU